AACCGAUAAAUUGCAAAGUUCAGCAACAUUGCUUUUUGAUCCUACGAUGUCGGCUCUUCCUAUCAUUUGUGAAGCAGAAUUCACCAAGCGUUGCAUCGUUCAUCCACUAACAGGGAACGUGAGCUGGGUUUAGACCAUCGUGAGACAGGCU